GCUGAUAUGGCUCAGUCGGUAGAGCGUCGCCUUGGUAAGGCGGAGGUCACGGGUUCGAUUCCCGUUAUCAGCU
rfam:Roseburia inulinivorans CAG:15 genomic scaffold, scf219